GACGUAGGGUGCAAGCGUUGUCCGGAUUUACUGGGCGUAAAGGGCGCGUAGGCGGUCGUGACAAGUCACUUGUGAAAUCUCCGGGCUUAACCCGGAGCGGUCAAGUGAUACUGUCGGACUAGAGUACAGAAGGGGCAACUGGAAUUCUCGGUGUAGCGGUGAAAUGCGUAGAUAUCGAGAGGAACACCUGCGGCGAAGGCGGGUUGCUGGGCUGAUACUGACGCUGAGGCGCGAAAGCCAGGGGAGCGAACGGG
rnacentral:rRNA from 1 species